AUACGGAGGGUGCAAGCGUUAAUCGGAAUUACUGGGCGUAAAGCGUGCGUAGGCGGUUGUUUAAGUCAGAUGUGAAAGCCCCGGGCUUAACCUGGGAACUGCAUUUGAUACUGGGCAACUAGAGUUGAGUAGAGGGGAGUGGAAUUUCAGGUGUAGCGGUGAAAUGCGUAGAGAUCUGAAGGAACACCAGUGGCGAAGGCGGCUCCCUGGACUCAAACUGACGCUGAGGUACGAAAGCGUGGGUAGCAAACAGGAUUAGAUACCCUGGUAGUCCACGCCCUAAACGAUGUCGACUAGUUGUUGGACGGGUUACUGUUCAGUAACGAAGCUAACGCGUGAAGUCGACCGCCUGGGGAGUACGGCCGCAAGGUUAAAACUCAAAGGAAUUGACGGGGACCCGCACAAGCGGUGGAUGAUGUGGUUUAAUUCGAUGCAACGCGAAAAACCUUACCUACCCUUGACAUGCCAGGAACUUACCAGAGAUGGUUUGGUGCUCGAAAGAGAGCCUGGACACAGGUGCUGCAUGGCUGUCGUCAGCUCGUGUCGUGAGAUGUUGGGUUAAGUCCCGCAACGAGCGCAACCCUUGUCAUUAGUUGCUACGCAAGAGCACUCUAAUGAGACCGCCGGUGACAAACCGGAGGAAGGUGGGGAUGACGUCAAGUCCUCAUGGCCCUUAUGGGUAGGGCUACACACGUCAUACAAUGGGCGGUACAGAGGGUUGCCAACCCGCGAGGGGGAGCCAAUCCCUUAAAGCCGCUCGUAGUCCGGAUUGUAGUCUGCAACUCGACUGCAUGAAGUCGGAAUCGCUAGUAAUCGCGGAUCAGCUUGCCGCGGUGAUACGUUCCCGGGUCUUGCACUCACCGCCCUUCA
rnacentral:rRNA from 1 species